rnacentral:rRNA from 1 species
UACAGAGGGUGCAAGCGUUGUUCGGAAUUAUUGGGCGUAAAGGGCGCGUAGGCGGUGCGGUAAGUCACCUGUGAAAUCUCCUGGCUCAACUGGGAGCUUGCAGGCGAAACUGCCGUGCUGGAGUGUGGGAGAGGUGCGUGGAAUUCCUGGUGUAGCGGUGAAAUGCGUAGAUAUUGGGAAGAACACCGGUGGCGAAGGCGGCUCUCUGGACCGAUACUGACGCUGAGGCGCGAAAGCGUGGGGAGCAAACAGG